rnacentral:rRNA from 1 species
AUUGAACGCUGGCGGCAUGCUUUACACAUGCAAGUCGAACGGCAGCGCGGGGCAACCUGGCGGCGAGUGGCGAACGGGUGAGUAAUACAUCGGAACGUACCCAGAAGUGGGGGAUAACGU